rnacentral:tRNA from 1 species
GCGGGCGUCGUAUAGCGGUUAUUAUACGUGCUUGCCAAGCACGCGACGGCGGUUCAACUCCGCUCGCCCGCU